AAUAAUCUAUUUGGCAGAAAAAGUGCAUUAAGUUUAAGUCUUAAAAAUAAAUUAU
rnacentral:tRNA from 1 species